rnacentral:rRNA from 1 species
UACGGAGGGUGCAAACGUUGCUCGGAAUCAUUGGGCGUAAAGCGCACGUAGGCGGCUCGUUAAGUCGGGUGUGAAAGCCCUGGGCUCAACCCAGGAAGUGCACUCGAAACUGGCGAGCUUGAAUAUGGAAGAGGGUCGCGGAAUUCCCGGUGUAGAGGUGAAAUUCGUAGAUAUCGGGAGGAACACCAGUGGCGAAGGCGGCGACCUGGGCCAAUUCUGACGCUGAGGAGCGAAAGCCAGGGGAGCAAACGGG